rnacentral:rRNA from 1 species
AGCCACAAGUCUAUAUUUGUGGUUGAACCUGCCCAAUGUGGAAAGAAUGAAUGGCCGCGGUACUCUGACCGUGCUAAGGUAGCGUAAUCAGUUGGCUUUUAAAUGGAGUCAGGAAUGAAUGGAUUUACCGGGCUUAGCUGUCUCCAAGGUAUUAUAUUGAAUUUACUGUUUAAGUGAAAAAGCUUAAUUUUAAAAAAGGGACGAGAAGACCCUUAGAAUUUUUUCUAUUUUAGUGUAUUACUUUUAAGGUUGCUAAUAAUGAUUUUAUUGGGGCGAUAAAGAAACAAUUUUUAACUUUCUUUGAAAUACAAGCCGAAUAUAUUAAGAGAGAAUAAAUUACCUGAGGG